CCGACGUCGCAUGCUCCCGGCCGCCAUGGCGGCCGCGGGAAUUCGAUUAGAGUUUGAUCAUGGCUCAGAUUGAACGCUGGCGGCAGGCCUAACACAUGCAAGUCGAGCGGUAGAGAGGUGCUUGCACCUCUUGAGAGCGGCGGACGGGUGAGUAAUGCCUAGGAAUCUGCCUGGUAGUGGGGGAUAACGCUCGGAAACGGACGCUAAUACCGCAUACGUCCUACGGGAGAAAGCAGGGGACCUUCGGGCCUUGCGCUAUCAGAUGAGCCUAGGUCGGAUUAGCUAGUUGGUGGGGUAAUGGCUCACCAAGGCGACGAUCCGUAACUGGUCUGAGAGGAUGAUCAGUCACACUGGAACUGAGACACGGUCCAGACUCCUACGGGAGGCAGCAGUGGGGAAUAUUGGACAAUGGGCGAAAGCCUGAUCCAGCCAUGCCGCGUGUGUGAAGAAGGUCUUCGGAUUGUAAAGCACUUUAAGUUGGGAGGAAGGACAUUAACCUAAUACGUUAGUGUUUUGACGUUACCGACAGAAUAAGCACCGGCUAACUCUGUGCCAGCAGCCGCGGUAUACGCAUCACUAGUGAAUUCGCGGCCGCCUGCAGGUCGACCAUAUGGGAGAGCUCCCAACGCGUUGAAU
rnacentral:rRNA from 1 species